rnacentral:rRNA from 1 species
GAAUCAGUACGCUGGUCGUGCCUUCGGUAUGUACUGGUGUCACUGGUUUCUCCCUUCUGAAGAACCAUCAUGCCAUUCACUUGGUGUGGUGGGAAAUCAGGACUGUUACUUUGAAAAAAUUAGAGUGUUCAACGCAGGCUAUUGCUGUGAAUACAUUAGCAUGGAAUAAUGGAAUAGGAC